AUCUGACUGACGAGUCCCAUAUAGGACGAAAUGCGCAUAUUAGAU
rnacentral:hammerhead_ribozyme from 1 species